CCUACGGGCGGCUGCAGUGAGGAAUAUUGGUCAAUGGGCGCAAGCCUGAACCAGCCAAGUCGCGUGAAGGAAGAAGGAUCUAUGGUUCGUAAACUUCUUUUGCAGGGGAAUAAAGUGCAGGACGUGUCCUGUUUUGUAUGUACCCUGAGAAUAAGGAUCGGCUAACUCCGUGCCAGCAGCCGCGGUAAUACGGAGGAUCCGAGCGUUAUCCGGAUUUAUUGGGUUUAAAGGGUGCGUAGGUGGUUUGAUAAGUCAGCGGUGAAAGUUUGCAGCUUAACUGUAAAAAUGCCGUUGAAACUGUCGGACUUGAGUGUAAAUGAGGUAGGCGGAAUGCGUGGUGUAGCGGUGAAAUGCAUAGAUAUCACGCAGAACUCCGAUUGCGAAGGCAGCUUACUAAGCUACAACUGACACUGAAGCACGAAAGCGUGGGGAUCAAACAGGCUUAGAUACCCCGGUAGUC
rnacentral:rRNA from 1 species